CACCCUNAUCACACCCAUANACGCCAGGGAAUUACGAGCACAAGCUUAAAACCCAAAGGAUUUGACGGUGUCCCACCCACCUAGAGGAGCCUGUUCUAUAAUCGAUGAUCCUCGAUAUACCUCACCAUUUUUUGUUAUUCAGCCUGUAUACCUCCGUCGUAAGCUUACCAUUUGAAUGNCCCAAAGUAAGUUCAAUAGGGGCCCCAACACGCCAAUACGUCAGGUCAAGGUGCAGCCUAUAAAAUGGGAAGCAAUGGGCUACAAUUUCUAAUUUAGAACAAACGAAAUGCUACAUGAAACACAGCCAUGAAGGCGGAUUUAGUAGUAAAAGAAGAGGNNNGAGCUUCUUUAAACAAGGCCCUGGNACGUGUACACACCGCCCG
rnacentral:rRNA from 1 species